rnacentral:rRNA from 1 species
UUAAGCGACUAAGCGUACACGGUGGAUGCCCUGGCAGUCAGAGGCGAUGAAGGACGUGCUAAUCUGCGAUAAGCGUCGGUAAGGUGAUAUGAACCGUUAUAACCGGCGAUUUCCGAAUGGGGAAACCCAGUGUGAUUCGUCACACUAUCAUUACGUGAAUACAUAGCGUAAUGAAGCGAACCGGGGGAACUGAAACAUCUAAGUACCCCGAGGAAAAGAAAUCAACCGAGAUUCCCCCAGUAGCGGCGAGCGAACGGGGAGCAGCCCAGAGUCUGAAUCAGCAUGUGUGUUAGUGGAAGCGUCUGGAAAGUCGCACGAUACAGGGUGAAAGUCCCGUACACAAAAGUGCAUGUGUUGUGAACUCGAAGAGUAGGGCGGGACACGUGGUAUCCUGUCUGAAUAUGGGGGGACCAUCCUCCAAGGCUAAAUACUCCUGACUGACCGAUAGUGAACCAGUACCGUGAGGGAAAGGCGAAAAGAACCCCGGCGAGGGGAGUGAAAAAGAACCUGAAACCGUGUACGUACAAGCAGUGGGAGCACCCUUUGGGGUGUGACUGCGUACCUUUUGUAUAAUGGGUCAGCGACUUAUAUUCUGUAGCAAGGUUAACCGAAUAGGGGAGCCGAAGGGAAACCGAGUCUUAACUGGGCGUUAAGUUGCAGGGUAUAGACCCGAAACCCGGUGAUCUAGCCAUGGGCAGGUUGAAGGUUGGGUAACACUAACUGGAGGACCGAACCGACUAAUGUUGAAAAAUUAGCGGAUGACUUGUGGCUGGGGGUGAAAGGCCAAUCAAACCGGGAGAUAGCUGGUUCUCCCCGAAAGCUAUUUAGGUAGCGCCUCGUGAACUCAUCUUCGGGGGUAGAGCACUGUUUCGGCUAGGGGGUCAUCCCGACUUACCAACCCGAUGCAAACUGCGAAUACCGAAGAAUGUUAUCACGGGAGACACACGGCGGGUGCUAACGUCCGUCGUGAAGAGGGAAACAACCCAGACCGCCAGCUAAGGUCCCAAAGUCAUGGUUAAGUGGGAAACGAUGUGGGAAGGCACAGACAGCCAGGAUGUUGGCUUAGAAGCAGCCAUCAUUUAAAGAAAGCGUAAUAGCUCACUGGUCGAGUCGGCCUGCGCGGAAGAUGUAACGGGGCUAAACCAUGCACCGAAGCUGCGGCAGCGACACUAUGUGUUGUUGGGUAGGGGAGCGUUCUGUAAGCCGUUGAAGGUGUAUCGUGAGGUAUGCUGGAGGUAUCAGAAGUGCGAAUGCUGACAUAAGUAACGAUAAUGCGGGUGAAAAACCCGCACGCCGGAAGACCAAGGGUUCCUGUCCAACGUUAAUCGGGGCAGGGUGAGUCGACCCCUAAGGCGAGGCCGAAAGGCGUAGUCGAUGGGAAACAGGUUAAUAUUCCUGUACUUGGUGUUACUGCGAAGGGGGGACGGAGAAGGCUAUGUUAGCCGGGCGACGGUUGUCCCGGUUUAAGCAUGUAGGCGGGAAGUUUAGGUAAAUCCGGACUUCUUUUAACGCUGAGGUGUGAUGACGAGGCACUACGGUGCUGAAGUAACAAAUGCCCUGCUUCCAGGAAAAGCCUCUAAGCAUCAGGUAACACGAAAUCGUACCCCAAACCGACACAGGUGGUCAGGUAGAGAAUACCAAGGCGCUUGAGAGAACUCGGGUGAAGGAACUAGGCAAAAUGGUGCCGUAACUUCGGGAGAAGGCACGCUGAUAUGUAGGUGAAGUGAUUUACUCAUGGAGCUGAAAUCAGUCGAAGAUACCAGCUGGCUGCAACUGUUUAUUAAAAACACAGCACUGUGCAAACACGAAAGUGGACGUAUACGGUGUGACGCCUGCCCGGUGCCGGAAGGUUAAUUGAUGGGGUUAUCCGUAAGGAGAAGCUCUUGAUCGAAGCCCCGGUAAACGGCGGCCGUAACUAUAACGGUCCUAAGGUAGCGAAAUUCCUUGUCGGGU